rnacentral:misc_RNA from 1 species
GGAAAUGCUAUCGUUCUGACUGCAGGUAGCGGCCGUUGUAGUCUUGAUUUUAGGGAUCUGAUUGCGCACAAUAAUGCCAAAGAUUCUGAUAAUGUUCCCAAGUCCUCACGGUUCAGCUACCUCACAAAACCACAUAUUAUUGCAAUUGUAGCUUUUGCUGUAAUUCUGACAAUUGCAGCUGCUUCAGUGUUCAUCAGCAUUCGAC